rnacentral:lncRNA from 1 species
UAGCUAGUCACCACUUUAGUUUAAUCAUGUAUAUCUAUUAUAUAGUCAUUUUAUAAAAUUUAUUGUUUGCAAAACUAUGUAUUAUUCUUGAUAAUAGUGAUGUUUUUGUCCCAGGCAGAUUGAUGUUUUAUCCCAGGCGGAUAUCCCUGGCCUCACAACUUUUUGGAACUUUUGGUCCUCGGCGAUCUUCAACUUUGUAGUUGUUAUGGCUUUCAAACUUUUUACAUCUGAGCAUAGUUUUGUGUGGACGUAGCGCACGUCUGGCGUAUACAAGUAUUUUUUAACCUGUUACUUUUU